CCUACGGGAGGCAGCAGUGGGGAAUAUUGCACAAUGGGGGAAACCCUGAUGCAGCGACGCCGCGUGAGUGAAGAAGUAUUUCGGUAUGUAAAGCUCUAUCAGUAGGGAAGAAAAUGACGGUACCUGAUUAAGAAGUCCCGGCUAAUUACGUGCCAACAGCCGCGGUAUUACGGCGGGGGAGAGCGUUAUCCGGAUUUACUGGGUGGAAAGGGAGUGUAGACGGCGGCACAUGUCUGGUGUGAAAGGCCGGGGCUUAACCCGGGAACUGCAUUGGAUACUGGGCAGCUAGAGUGCAGGAGAGGUGAGUAGAAGUCCUGGUGUAGCGGUGAAAUGCGUAGAUAUGAGGAGGAACACCAAUGGCGAAGGCAGCUUAUUG
rnacentral:rRNA from 1 species